rnacentral:rRNA from 1 species
GACGAACGCUGGCGGCGUGCUUAACACAUGCAAGUCGAACGGAAAGGCCCUGCUUUUGUGGGGUGCUCGAGUGGCGAACGGGUGAGUAACACGUGAGUAACCUGCCCUUGACUUUGGGAUAACUUCAGGAAACUGGGGCUAAUACCGGAUAGGAGCUCCUGCUGCAUGGUGGGGGUUGGAAAGUUUCGGCGGUUGGGGAUGGACUCGCGGCUUAUCAGCUUGUUGGUGGGGUAGUGGCUUACCAAGGCUUUGACGGGUAGCCGGCCUGUGAGGGUGACCGGCCACAUUGGGACUGAGGUACGGCCCAGACUCCUACGGGGGGCAGCAGUGGGGAAUAUUGCACAAUGGGCGGGAGCCUGAUGCAGCAGCGCCGCGUGCGGGAUGACGGCCUUCGGGUUGUAAACCGCUUUCGCCUGUGACGAAGCGUAAGUGACGGUAAUGAGUAAAGAAGCACCGGCUAACUACGUG